AUGCAAUCCAAGCAACUUCACCUUUCUGAGAAAAUAAACAUCCCUUGGACUUGCAAACCUGGCAGGAUGGGGGAAAAGCCUGCCUGGCUUUUGGCUACAUGUAUCUUUUGUGGGGCAGCUGGCCGUAAUUCAUCCCCGAGCGCUAUCCAUCACCUCAGCUGGCUGCUAAUAGUGAGGAUGUGUGCGUGUGGCAGGGGCACAGGCAAGCUGCAAGGGGCUCCCUCUCCCCUUGUGGGGCCUUGGAGAUGCCGUCUGCAUGGCAGCUGCCACCCCCCUGUGCUGCUGCCCCCCACCGUGGUGGUCCCCUCCUGCUCCUCGUGGCACAUCUGCUCCGCUUCUGACGUCUCCCCGUUGUGGAUUUCACAAUCUCCUGCUUCAGGCAGCAAGCAACACGGGAGAGACUCUCAAGGGCACAUCGAGCUCUCGAUUCCCAGUCAAUAAAAGCCGGAGCUGCACGUGCCAGUGACAAGUGUCCCAGGAAGAGGCAGGGGACAGCUGUCUUCUAAAUUGCAUUAAGCAGGUGAAAGAUGUCACUGCUCUUCACGGUUGUUCAUCCAUCCCACUUUCAGCCGCAUGAGCUCCCUUGCACCAGGCAGAGCCAAAAGCUUUGCCCAAAAUGCCUGCUGUGAAGCUGCGUAGAAGAUGCUCAGCUCCCUGGUGCUGGCAGAGCAGUGAAGGAGAGGGACCGAAGUCCAAGGGAUGACAAGUUUCACUGAGCCUGGCUGUGUGCAAAUGAGCGUCCAUCUGCUUGGAGCUGUGGCAGCUGCAGAGGAGCUACUGCUGAUGGCUUCUCGGGAAAGCCUUCUUCCCCCCCACCUAUUUUGGGUAACAAUUUUCUGUCGGUUUUCUGCGGAUGUUUUCCACUCCCAGAAUGCUGACUUGUCAACAUUUAGAUGGUUAGAAAAAGUCUUUUUCCACAAAUUAAGCUGAGGAGGCAUUUUUUUUUUGCUCUAAAAUAAUGGGAAAUUUAAAGAACAAAUACCCAUUUUCCCACAUGAAACAGGGAAAAUGAUUCUUGUGAGCUAACUCUACUGAGCAGCCUACAUUAACUCUCCCAACGUGUGACCCAAAGCACUCCUCAGCAGUCCUUUAAGGACUUUAGGUCUAGCUUAAGCUAGAAUAAAGCUUAUAGCACGUAACA
rnacentral:lncRNA from 1 species